GAUCAACGCUGGCGGCGUGCUUAACACAUGCAAGUCGAACGAAGUUUUUCCUUCGGGAGACACUUAGUGGCGGACGGGUGAGUAACGCGUGGGUAACCUGCCCUGUACAGGGGGACAACAGCUGGAAACGGCUGCUAAUACCGCAUAAGCACUUAGCACUGCAUGGUGCAUAGGGAGAAGGAGCAAUCCGGUACAGGAUGGACCCGCGUCUGAUUAGCCAGUUGGCAGGGUAACGGCCUACCAAAGCGACGAUCAGUAGCCGAUCUGAGAGGAUGUACGGCCACAUUGGGACUGAGACACGGCCCAGACUACUACGGGAGGCAGCAGUGGGGAAUAUUGCACAAUGGAGGAAACUCUGAUGCAGCGACGCCGCGUGAGUGAAGAAGUAUUUCGGUAUGUAAAGCUCUAUCAGCAGGGAAGAAAAUGACGGUACCUGACGAAGAAGCACCGGCUAAAUACGUG
rnacentral:rRNA from 1 species